rnacentral:rRNA from 1 species
UACAGAGGGUGCAAGCGUUAAUCGGAAUUACUGGGCGUAAAGCGCGCGUAGGUGGUUUGUUAAGUUGAAUGUGAAAUCCCCGGGCUCAACCUGGGAACUGCAUGCAAAACUGGCAAGCUAGAGUAUGGUAGAGGGUGGUGGAAUUUCCUGUGUAGCGGUGAAAUGCGUAGAUAUAGGAAGGAACACCAGUGGCGAAGGCGACCACCUGGACUGAUACUGACACUGAGGUGACGAAAGC